AUGGUGGUCUCCCAGUACAUGGCGGCGGCGCCGGGGGACUGGAUGCGGGUGAGCUGCGAGUCCUCCAGGCGCGCCAGGAGGCCGCUCCGCUGGCUGAAGAACCCCGUGAGGCCGUGCCGGAUCACCUCCGCCGUGCCGUCGCUCCAGCUCGACAGCGUGGACGGCCCCACGUCGAGGCGCAGCACGAAGCAGUCCUCCCCGUCGACCUGCUUCUCGCCGGCGUGCUCCGCCGUCGAGAAGAUGGACGCGAUCAUCACCGGGUCCAGGCCCUGCAUGUGCAUGGACAAGAUCGACAUUCAAUUCGAAACCACAUCAUAG
rnacentral:rRNA from 1 species